rnacentral:rRNA from 1 species
UACGAAGGGGGCUAGCGUUGCUCGGAAUCACUGGGCGUAAAGCGCACGUAGGCGGCUUUUUAAGUCAGGGGUGAAAUCCUGGAGCUCAACUCCAGAACUGCCUUUGAUACUGAGAAGCUUGAGUCCGGGAGAGGUGAGUGGAACUGCGAGUGUAGAGGUGAAAUUCGUAGAUAUCAAGCAGAACACCUGCGGCGAAGGCGGUGGUCUGGGCCGGCACUGACGCUGAGGAGCGAAAGCGUGGGGAGCGAACAGG